rnacentral:rRNA from 1 species
AUGAACGCUGGCGGCGUGCCUCAUACAUGCAAGUCGAGCGAACGGACGAGAAGCUUGCUUCUCUGAUGUUAGCGGCGGACGGGUGAGUAACACGUGGAUAACCUACCUAUAAGACUGGGAUAACUUCGGGAAACCGGAGCUAAUACCGGAUGAUAUUUUGAACCGCAUGGUUCAAAAGUGAAAGACGGUCUUGCUGUCACUUAUAGAUGGAUCCGCGCUGCAUUAGCUAGUUGGUAAGGUAACGGCUUACCAAGGCAACGAUGCAUAGCCGACCUGAGAGGGUGAACGGCCACACUGGAACUGAGACACGGUCCAGACUCCUACGGGAGGCAGCAGUAGGGAAUCUUCCGCAAUGGGCGAAAGCCUGACGGAGCAACGCCGCGUGAGUGAUGAAGGUCUUCGGAUCGUAAAACUCUGUUAUUAGGGAAGAACAUAUGUGUAAGUAACUGUGCACAUCUUGACGGUACCUAAUCAGAAGGCCACGGCUAACUACGUG